rnacentral:rRNA from 1 species
UACGUAGGGGGCGAGCGUUGUCCGGAAUCAUUGGGCGUAAAGCGCGUGUAGGCGGCUCGAUAAGUCUGGUGUGAAAACUGGAGGCUCAACCUCCAGCUGUCAUUGGAUACUGUCGGGCUAGAGUCCGGAAGAGGAGAGUGGAAUUCCUGGUGUAGCGGUGGAAUGCGCAGAUAUCAGGAGGAACACCGGUGGCGAAGGCGGGUCUCUGGGCAGUAACUGACGCUGAGGAGCGAAAGCGUGGGGAGCGAACAGG